UAUUACCGAUUGAAUGGUUCAGUGAGGCGUUCGGACUGGCCCAGGGAGGUCGGCAACGACCACCCAGGGCCGGAAAGUUCUCCAAACUCGAUCAUUUAGAGGAAGUAAAAGUCGUAACAAGGUCUCCGUUGGUGAACCAGCGGAGGGAUCAUUG
rnacentral:rRNA from 1 species